GAGCACUCUGUACGACUGGCCCAGGGUGCUGAAUACCCUAAUACUGGCCUGAGAUGGCCAUUCAUUCUCUUUUUUCAGACUGGGAAAUGAUAAUUGCUAAUUAGUAGAUGUUAUGACAGAGAUUAUUAUGCGCUAUUUUUAAUUUUGCUACUUCCAGUAUAAAAGCUAAUGCAUAGUUCCCAAAGUGAGCAGGCACAACUUAACUGGUGUAAGUUCAGCUGUUGUUGAAGGAGUGUUUGUCUCUCUGACUAAUCAGAAAUACAAAAGAACAGGAGUCACAGACUUUGAGCAGAAGAAAGGAAGUGAUUUACAUUUGGAAGGUCAAUGCCAUAAAUCAGUCAUGUGUAAAUAGGAAGUAUCAAGGAAAUGAUACAAAACGUAGAAGCUGCUCAGUGUCUAGGCAUUCAGCUAAUACAAUAUAUAAAGAUAUUAAUUAGAGAAUAGAUUGUCCAGACAGGCAAAUUCAGUACAACAGUUGUGUAAGUUUGGACGAGAUUUCUCAGCUUAGGAAAUCCGCAACCGUUCCCUGAAGCUUAGCAGUAUUUUGACUGCUUGUGGAGUAAAAAGUCACCAGUUAGUUGGCCUAAUGUAAUUGUAAGAGGUGAAAAUCGUCGAUUUUUGCAGAAGUACAGUGUAAAAAGUGACUAUGAUAGAUCUGCUUACACUCUCGGUGAAUUUAUAGCCAUUCCAAAGAAAUAUAAAAUAAAAUUACAUUAUUUUAACGAGAAAUGUAACAUUGCGAAAGACGACAGCAUCCAAUCACUUUAUAAGAUUAGAACACCCUUUUCUUGAUCAGCAGAAGUUAAAACUUCCUAACCUCGCAAAUUGCAUGUUGAAAAGUGUAAAGAUGCUUGUUAAUGCUGACCGCUGACGAAAAGCUGCUUACAUCCAGCUUGAAAAUCAACAAUGAUUUUAGGCCCGUUCUUUAAAACCUAUUUCGAUAAAGGGUCAUGUUAAAAAGAUACAUUUCGGCAGAACGACAAGCUCAACUUCCCUGUGAAACCUGGACUCUACCACAUGAAUAUGGGCAGCCGUCUUCAGUGCAAACUCAAAAUCAAGAUAAUUCACAUAAAGAAUUCAAAGAUUGUGAGAGAAUUUUCGCCAGAGUCUAGUCUGAAAUGGCAGUCUUGCUUCAUAUCACUGUCAGAUGUCAAGUACAACACAUACUAUUAAAUAUCAGAAACCAAUUAUUAUUGAACUUAUUCAGUAAAAGACUUUGAACAUUCCAGAGUUUCUCUUAUGUUUCCAAAAGCAACAAUAAUAAUGAUAAUAACUUUAAAUAAAAAGUAAUGAUAAUAACAUUGAA